rnacentral:rRNA from 1 species
AUUGAACGCUGGCGGCAGGCCUAACACAUGCAAGUCGAGCGGAUGAAGGGAGCUUGCGCCUGGCUUCAGCGGCGGACGGGUGAGUAAUGCCUAGGAAUCUGCCUUGUCUUUGGGGAUAACGUCCGUACACGGGCGCUAAUACCGCAUACGUCCUGAUGUAGAAAGUGGGGGAUCUUCGGACCUCACGCUAUCAGAUGAGCCUAGGUCGGAUUAGCUAGUUGGUGGGGUAAGGGCCUACCAAGGCGACGAUCCGUAACUGGUCUGAGAGGAUGAUCAGUCACACUGGAACUGAGACACGGUCCAGACUCCUACGGGAGGCAGCAGUGGGGAAUAUUGGACAAUGGGCGAAAGCCUGAUCCAGCCAUGCCGCGUGUGUGAAGAAGGUCUUCGGAUCGUAAAGCACUUUAAGUUGGGAGGAAGGGCAGUAAGUUAAUACCUUGCUGUUUUGACGUUACCAAAAGAAUAAGCACCGGCUAACUUCGUG